GGACUACUAGGGUUUCUAAUCCUGUUUGCUCCCCACGCUUUCGUGCCUGAGCGUCAAUCUCAGCCCAGGGGGCUGCCUUCGCCAUCGGUGUUCCGCCACAUCUCUACGCAUUUCACUGCUACACGUGGCAUUCCACCCCCCUCUGCCAGAUUCUGAGUCCUCUAGUUUCCACUGCCAUUCCCAGGUUAAGCCCGGGGCUUUCACAGCGGACACAAAGAACCGCCUACGCACGCUUUACGCCCAGUAAUUCCGAUUAACGCUCGCACCCUACGUAUUACCGCGGCGGCUGGCAC
rnacentral:rRNA from 1 species